rnacentral:rRNA from 1 species
GUCUAUGGCAGUGCCUCCCUGAACAAGCCGGAUCCCGUCUGAUCUCGGAAGCUAAGCAGGGUCGGGCCUGGUUAUUACUUGGAUGAGAGACCACCUAGGAAGACCAGAUGCUAUAGGUG